rnacentral:rRNA from 1 species
UACAGAGGGGGCAAGCGUUGUUCGGAAUUACUGGGCGUAAAGGGCGCGUAGGCGGCCUGUUAAGUCGAACGUGAAAUCCCCGGGCUCAACCCGGGAACUGCGUCCGAUACUGGCAGGCUUGAAUCCGGGAGAGGGAUGCGGAAUUCCAGGUGUAGCGGUGAAAUGCGUAGAUAUCCGGAGGAACACCGGUGGCGAAGGCGGCAUCCUGGACCGGCAUUGACGCUGAGGCGCGAAAGCCAGGGGAGCAAACGGG